UGCUUGUUGUUCCAUCACCUGAUUUAGUGGUUUUAUUCUCUGGAGAAGGAAUUAUAAUGCCACGUGAUUUUUGAGACUGGUGGACAUUGGACUCUGUUUCCAUAGUCCUGGGUGGUUCCUGGAACUUUGGCUGAAGCUUUAGUCUUCUUUGUAAUGUCCUAUUAUUUGGGAUAUUCAAGACCCAACAGAAAAUUUCUCUAAUAUGUGAGCAAGCAGUGGAACAACUGAUUGGAGUCCUGCAGGUUCAAUUUCUUGCCAGAAGACUUAGAGCAGAUGCUGCCUGAAGGAGACUCUGUAAGUCCUUUGUUUGUCUGAGUGGUUGGUAACGUUAAAUUGAAUACAGUGUUUCUAGGAUUAGUGAACUGUUGGACAAAGUGGUGAAAUCAUCACUGCUGUCAACAAAAAUUCACUAAGGGAGAAUUCAAGAUAAAAAGGAAGGCUCAUAGCUUAUUGGUUAGUCCAAGCAGCAAAAAUAAACACCCAUGUCAGAGAGAGGGAGGAGCAGAGAUUUAUUCAGGAAAGCAAGGAAUCCAUAUUCAGGAAGAAUGCGGCUAUCAAGGGAGUGAGAUGCACCUUUUGGGAGCUCAGGCUCUUAGAAAAAAAUCUGGCUUGGGAAGUGACAGCCCUUGGAGAAAAACUGACCAGAGAGCGAAGACAUCUGUGAUGCUCUGCUGGCCUCUGCCUUGCCCCAGGUGUCCUUCAGCAGCUCUUCAGAGCUGUCCAGUAGCCAUGGCUUUGGCUUUGCAAGUCUAAAUCAGAGAGAUGGUUUGCUGCCCAUGUUGAUGUGUCCUGCCGGUCAGGACAUUUGGCGCCCAAUGUGGGGCUCCAGCCUUUGACUGAGAAGGAACGCUGUCCUCCGGGAAGACUUGGCCAAAUGGAGCUCACGAUCGCCUCGGCAGACACGACCAAGAGACAGAUCCAGGAGGAGAGUGGGGACGAUGCACGAUUCAGACAGCUGGCUUACAUGCUUGGAGACGCCUCCCUCAAAAGGGCUCAGCUACCACUUCCCUAGCAAAAAUUUGACAAGGGCCUGACGAGCCUUAUAGUGACUUUGUUGCCUGGCUUAACCUAGCCGCGGAUUGCCUUUGGACCAAGCGAAAGCACCUUUGUAAAACAUCUUGCCUUUGAAAACGCCAACCCAGCAUGUCAGGAUGUUCUUCUGCCACAUAAAGAUGCAGCCAACAAUCUGUGGGAGGAUCCUGCUUAAGGCACUUCUGCUGAACAGUUUUGUACACGGAGGCCUUAGCCCUUCACCUUCCAACAUCAGGGAGUACCUUUUUGCCCCCCCCCUCCCCGCGAAUGCAGGGGAGGAUCUUGGACUCAGGCUUCCACUAGUUGGACCCAGACUGCUGACUGCUUGACUAAGGUGGCUUCCCUCUGUGCUGAGGUUGACCAUAAACUCGGAGGAGUUCAUCAGCCUGAAUGGGGUUAAGUUAUCGCUCCUCCAUGGGCCCCUCCGCUUGGGGGACGACGCACCCUUGGAGUGAGGACGUUAGGCCAUAAUAAUGGAGGGUGCCGGAAGGACUGCAGGAGGAUGGAUCCACAGAUCCCAAAACCCAAGACCUCUGAGUGACACACUCUGGUGAUGGCGGUUGGCAUGCUCCUGCCUCCAAGCCGUCUCCUCCAAAAACAUGCCAAGGCCACCACAAAAUCUCCUAAUGAAGAUGCUCGCUCAGAUCAGGAGACAUUCUAAGGCCUCCUAGAGGAACAGAGCCUCUAUCACCCCCUACAAACAUGGCCGGUAAGGCAAUCACUCUCCUAGCCCUGGGCACCAAGAAGAAAGACUUGGGAUGGGGAGCCCAUUCGGCUUAGUAACCUACAGAAGCAGAGAUGGCGACACAAACAGGAAAGGGGCUGAAGAGAGGCAGACAAGAGGGCAGAUUCCAGCAAGAUUUAAGAAGCUGAAAAUAUGGAGCUGACAUCAGACAGGAUGUGAAGGGAAGGGGAGAAUCCAGGAAGUGACAAGAGAUUUCCAGCUUGGGCAGCUCUGGGUGUGCUGUCCAUCACUGAGGUUGCACUGCCACAUACACAGCAGGGUGCUGGCAGAGCCACAUGGAGGAGGACACUUACCAUUGGUCUUCAGUAACCACCUCAGCACAUUUCACAUGGACAGAAAGAUGGUGCUCCUGUUGUGGAAUAGCUGCCUCAGCCCAUCUGUUGAACACAACACUUGGAUCUAAACUUGUGCUGGAAACCUGCCAGAAAUAGCCCAGCCCUCUCUACAAAUGGACUCCUCACCAUGAACACAGUGUAACUCCAGCUGCACUCGCCUUCCUCCCACAGUCCCUUCUCAGCCUCCCCAGCCUGGGUCUGUCCCUCUCUUCUGUGCUCAGCAUCAUGUUCCCGUUCUGUCUCACUGAUAGGUAUCCAACUCAGAAUCAGAAGUCUAUUGAAAGUGUCCCUUAAAGAUGAUGCAAUUAUGUGACCAGGCCUUGGACCAUCGGGAUGAUCUGCUCCCCACCCCAGGAGCCACCCACUACAUCUGGAGUGCACACAACCAGCAAGGCCAGGGACCCAUUCACUAGCAAAUUGGAGCCUUUAAUGGGUGCUUGUGGGUCCCCCAUUGGAGAAGAACCUGAUAUCAUGGCAGAGACACAGGACAGUCUUUUAUCCCCCACACCUUUCACAGGCAGGGACAGUGUGACAGCACAGGAAAUGCCAUGCCAUUGUGGAGGAUGGCAUGGGAGUGGCAGAAAAAAAAGAGCAUCUCAUAUGCAGGUGCAGGGGCAGUGACUAAAAGGUGUGAUUUGACUCUGAUUUUGCUGAGCUUUGAGGUAGGGCCUGUGAUCUUCGGAGGCCCAGGGCACUAGUUCGUGCAUCUGAAUUUUGGACAGCUCCUGUCCCCACACUAAUGACAGCUUUUUACUUCAAGACUGAAAGCAACAUUUCAUGCAUGGUGUCAUCUUCAUGAAACCAGAAAAACACCACCAUGGCAUGGCUUUUCAGCACGAGGCCUGCUCCAGGUAAGGUCAUCAGAUGCAAAGGUGAAUGUUCCAGGAAAUCGCCAUCCAUCUUUCAUACAGAGGUGGCCCCGCAGUGGUCUGGCCAUGACCACUGGAGGUAGAGAUGAGAGGCACAGAGAAAGAUGGCUCCAGCCCUGCAUCUGUGGAGGGCCUAGCAUCUUACACCCAGCACGGCUCACUCCUGCAGCCCAGGAGACAAGCCUGCUCCCUUUGAUAAACAAGUUUAAGCUGACUUAGGGUUAUUUUGUUACUUUAAACCAAAGACCCCUACCUCAUAUAAAUUUCAUUCAGAUUCAUUCAGUCAAUGAAGCUGAGACCAGAGCUGAAAUGGUCCUUAUCCUGUUACAGGCUGAAGCUUGGAUGUUGCCUGUCCCCCAGGGUCCCUAUGUUGAAGACUCAGCUCUCAGAAUGUCCCUGGGGAGGUGCAAUACAGAGGCAUGUCUUCAGGAGGGCUCUGCAGGUGAUGGAGGCCCAGGCUUGUCUUUAAUUAAAACAGAACAAAGCCCAUACAAAGAAAGUGCCCUGUAUACAGAAAACACUUCUAUAAAAAAAAACCCACUGGGCAGAAUCAUAUGCCCAGCUCCUAGCUGCAGAUCAGUGCCUUCUUAAGUAAAUGCUUUUUGACACUUA